GCAUCGGUAGUUCAGUGGUAAAAUACUCGCCUGCCACGCGGGUUCGAUUCCCGGCCGAUGCA
rnacentral:tRNA from 1 species